UACGGAGGGGGUUAGCGUUGUUCGGAAUUACUGGGCGUAAAGCGCGCGUAGGCGGAUCGGAAAGUCGGGGGUGAAAUCCCGGGGCUCAACCCCGGAAUGGCCUUCGAAACUCCCGGUCUUGAGUUCGAGAGAGGUGAGUGGAAUUCCGAGUGUAGAGGUGAAAUUCGUAGAUAUUCGGAGGAACACCAGUGGCGAAGGCGGCUCACUGGCUCGACACUGACGCUGAGGUGCGAAAGCAUGGGGAGCAAACAGG
rnacentral:rRNA from 1 species